UUUUGGACAAUGGGCGCAAGCCUGAUCCAGCAAUGCCGCGUGAGUGAAGAAGGCCUUCGGGUUGUAAAGCUCUUUUGUCAGGGAAGAAACGGUGAGCUCUAAUACAGUUUGCUAAUGACGGUACCUGAAGAAUAAGCACCGGCUAAUUACGUGCCAGCAGCCGCGGUAAUACGUAGGGUGCAAGCGUUAAUCGGAAUUACUGGGCGUAAAGCGUGCGCAGGCGGUUAUGUAAGUCAGAUGUGAAAUCCCCGGGCUCAACCUGGGAAUGGCAUUUGAGACUGCAUGGCUAGAGUGUGUCAGAGGGGGGUAGAAUUCCACGUGUAGCAGUGAAAUGCGUAGAGAUGUGGAGGAAUACCGAUGGCGAAGGCAGCCCCCUGGGAUAACACUACGCUCAUCACGAA
rnacentral:rRNA from 1 species